UGUUUGGGAAUGCAGGUCAAAAUGGGUGGUAAAUUUCAUCUAAAGCUAAAUAUUGGCCAGAGACCGAUAGCGCACAAGUAGAGUGAUCGAAAGAUGAAAAGCACUUUGAAAAGAGAGUUAAACAGUAUGUGAAAUUGUUGAAAGGGAAGCGCUGGCAACCAGACUCGUGCGCGGGGUUCCCCCUUGCUUCUGCUUGGGUCACUUCCCCGUGUCCGGGCCAUCAUCAGUUUCGGGGGCCGGUUAAAGGCCCUGGGAAUGUACCCACGCCUUCGGGGGUGGACUUAUAGCCCAGGGUGUCAUGCGGCCACCCGGGACUGAGGAACGCGCUUCGGCGAGGAUGAUGGCGUAAUGGUUGUCAGCGGCCCGUCUUGAAACACGGACCAAGGAGUCUAACAUCUAUGCGAGUGUUCGGGUGUCAAACCCUUGCGCGGAAUGAAAGUGAACGGAGGUAGGAAGGCUUAAGCCUGCACUAUCGACCGAUCCUGAUGUCUUCGGAUGGAUUUGAGUAAGAGCAUAGCUGUUGGGACCCGAAAGAUGGUGAACUAUGCGUGAAUAGGGUGAAGCCAGAGGAAACUCUGGUGGAGGCUCGCAGCGGUUCUGACGUGCAAAUCGA
rnacentral:rRNA from 1 species